AAAAAAGCAAUCAAUUCCAAGCUCUAUCUAAGAGUUAGAUUGACCCUAUUCAUUGCAUGGAUUUUAGAAAAGAAGAAUUCUAAGUUCUGAAGUAUCUAGCAUUGUCUUAAUUUGCUCCAGCUGAAGCCAGUGAAUCUAACUGAGCUGCCAGUGCAACUGGGGCAAUUCAAUCUCUUUCUCCUGGUAGCUCCAGCUGAGAGAAGGAAAUGGCAUGCAGAAGAGAAGUACUCUUAAGGUUACAUGUACUACGCUUCAGCCAAAACAGAGCAGAAGUGAAACUCCAGCCUGGACAAGACAGUUUUGCUUCCUCUGCGUGAUGGACACAAAUGCUUUCAGAUCUGCUGAUUUGGUAGAAGUGAACUUGGAUCAUCCAGGACCAUGUUAUUGGGGCUCCACCUUACGGCAGAUGAGAGCAGAAUGGCAGUGGCAUUAUAACUUCUCCAGGUUAGAAACUAGGGAGAAGAAAUUUGAUAUGAUACGAUAUUUUGCUUUGGGCCAAAAAAGAAUGCAUUCUCCAAACAGAGAAUGCAUUUUUUCAUAGUGCCUCAAGAUCUAUGCAAAAUAAGAGUAUUUCUAGUAGUUCUAUUUUUACAGCGUCUUACAUAAUAAUGAUUUAUUUGGCAUGAACAUAACUGUGCAGACAAUUAAAAAACAUCUCUUUUUCAAGUAAUUUGUAAUCUCUG
rnacentral:lncRNA from 1 species